UGCGUAGGCGGUCUGUAAAGCUGGAUGUGAAAUCCCGGGGCUCAACCCCGGAACUGCAUCCAGAACUGGCAGACUAGAGACCAGGAGGGGAGAGGAGAAUUCAUGGUGUAGCGGUGAAAUGCGUUGAUAUCAUGAAGAAUACCGGUGGCGAAGGCGCCUCUCUGGAAUGGUUCUGACGCUGAGGCACGAAAGCGUGGGUAGCGAACAGGAUUUGAUACCCUGGUAGUCC
rnacentral:rRNA from 1 species